CUUCCAUUCCUCACGUUUACAUGAACACAAAAAAGCGAGAUUGUGGGAAUGUCCGACGUAAAAGCAGUUUUUGACUCCUCCCCUUACUGCGCCGCCGACUCGCGUCUUCAUUUCAGGCGAACCUACUUUUUUCUAGGGUCUCGCGAGGUGUUGCGGAAAGCUUCCCAGUGUAUGCUAUAUACUACUUUUUAAGGUUGUAUCUUUAUUUAUUCUAUGUUUGGCUAAUUUGUGUUUUUCUUUUGUUUUGAUACAAUUAAAAUAAAGUGCUAUAACAAUAAAUCAGACUUGACCAUAUAGCAUAGGGUACGUGGCUCUAAAUCCUACGGAUGACUAUAAUUUACGCCUAAGGAUGAUCUGCAGACCACCAUUCAAGCAGAGACAGUUGAUGACUAUGGACUGUAUGAUCAUGCAAUGUUGAGGUUUUAGUCAGGCAACAAGAUGGGUUAGGAUUUCUACGUGAGGCAAGAUGGGACUCGUUCCUUUUUCUACUCUAGAGAGCACCUGGGCAUUUUGUACCAGCAGGGAUGAUUUGAGGCUGCUGUGAAUGAGUAUGUGUUGAGGGAAACGGUGAAUAAAAAUGAGGCACUGUGUGUUCCUCGAGUGUUCCUGCAAAGUACAUUUUGCAAACCUGCUCCUUCACAAUCUAUAAGAUAAUAAUCAAAAGUCUGUACAUGAUAUUAUAUAUCACCUUUUCAAAUUAUUGUUUCAUAAUAAAAGUGACAUUUCAAU